rnacentral:rRNA from 1 species
UACGUAGGGUGCGAGCGUUAAUCGGAAUUACUGGGCGUAAAGUGUGCGCAGGCGGCCGAGCAAGUCGAGUGUGAAAGCCCCGGGCUUAACCUGGGAACUGCGUUUGAAACUGGGAGACUUGAGUGUGGCAGAGGGGGGUGGAAUUCCACGUGUAGCAGUGAAAUGCGUAGAUAUGUGGAGGAACACCGAUGGCGAAGGCAGCCCCCUGGGUUAACACUGACGCUCAUGCACGAAAGCGUGGGGAGCAAACAGG